rnacentral:rRNA from 1 species
AUCGAACUCUGGCGGCAGGCCUAACACAUGCAAGUCGAACGACUGGCGGACGGGUGAGGAAUGUCUGGUAAACGGCCCGAUGGAGGGGGAUAACUACUGGAAACGGUAGCCAAUCCCGCAUAACAUCAGAUGCGCCCAGCUGGGAUUAGCUAGUUGGUGGGGUAACGGCGCAGCAAGGCGACGAUCCCUAGCUGGUUUGAGAGGAUGACCAGCCACACUGGAACGGAGGCACGGUGCAGGCUCCUGGGGGAGGAAGCAUUGGAGACUAUUGCACGGUUGUCGGCAGCCUGCUGCAGCCAUGCCGCGUGUAGGCAGAAGGCCUUCGGGUUGUAAUGUGCUUGCAGCGAGGAGGCGUUACCCGCGCAAGACGCCCCGGCUACCUCCGUGCCAGCAGCCGCGGUAAUUC